rnacentral:rRNA from 1 species
UACGAAGGGGGCUAGCGUUGUUCGGAAUCACUGGGCGUAAAGCGUACGUAGGCGGAUCGUUAAGUCAGGGGUGAAAGCCCGAGGCUCAACCUCGGAACUGCCUUUGAUACUGGCGAUCUCGAGUCCGGGAGAGGUGAGUGGAACUGCGAGUGUAGAGGUGAAAUUCGUAGAUAUUCGCAAGAACACCAGUGGCGAAGGCGGCUCACUGGCCCGGUACUGACGCUGAGGUGCGAAAGCGUGGGGAGCAAACAGG